rnacentral:rRNA from 1 species
AAAACAGCCCUACGGGAGGCAGCAGUGAGGAAUAUUGGUCAAUGGGCGCAAGCCUGAACCAGCCAUGCCGCGUGCAGGAUGACGGUCCUAUGGAUUGUAAACUGCUUUUGUACGGGAAGAAACACUCCUACGUGUAGGAGCUUGACGGUACCGUAAGAAUAAGGAUCGGCUAACUCCGUGCCAGCAGCCGCGGUAAUACGGAGGAUCCAAGCGUUAUCCGGAAUCAUUGGGUUUAAAGGGUCCGUAGGCGGUCUUGUAAGUCAGUGGUGAAAGCCCAUCGCUCAACGGUGGAACGGCCAUUGAUACUGCAGGACUUGAAUUACUGGGAAGCAACUAGAAU